rnacentral:rRNA from 1 species
CCUACGGGAGGCUGCAGUGAGGAAUAUUUGUCAUUGGGCGCAAGCCUGAACCAUCCAAGUCGCGUGAGGGAUGACGGUCCUAUGGAUUGUACACCUCUUUUGUCGGGGAGCAAGGCCCGCCACGUGUGUCGGGAAGGAGAGUACCCGAAGAAAAAGCAUCGGCUAACUCCGUGCCAGCAGCCGCGGUAAUCCGUAGGAUUCGAGCGUUACUCGGAUUUAUUGGUUUUCAAGGGUGCGUAGGCGGAAGGAUAAGUCAGCGGUAACAUGUCUGUGCUCAACAGCGGCCUGCCGUUGAAACUGGUCUUCUUGAGUGAGCGAGAAGUAUGCGGAAUGUGUGGUGUAGCGGUGAAAUGCAUAGAUAUCACGCAGAACUCCGAUUGCGAAGGCAGCAUACCGGCGCUCAACUGACGCUGAGGCACGAAAGCGUGGGGAUCGAACAGGAUUAGAUACCCCGGUAGUC